AUUGAACGCUGGCGGCAUGCCUUACACAUGCAAGUCAAACGGUAACAGGUCUUCGGAUGCUGACGAGUGGCGAACGGGUGAGUAAUACAUCGGAACGUGCCUAGUAGUGGGGGAUAACUACUCGAAAGAGUGGCUAAUACCGCAUGAGAUCUACGGAUGAAAGCAGGGGAUCGCAAGACCUUGUGCUACUAGAGCGGCCGAUGGCAGAUUAGGUAGUUGGUGGGAUAAAAGCUUACCAAGCCGACGAUCUGUAGCUGGUCUGAGAGGACGGUCAGCCACACUGGGACUGAGACACGGCCCAGACUCCUACGGGAGGCAGCAGUGGGGAAUUUUGGACAAUGGGCGAAAGCCUGAUCCAGCAAUGCCGCGUGCAGGAUGAAGGCCUUCGGGUUGUAAACUGCUUCUGUACGGAACGAAAAGCCCCGGGUUAAUACCCUGGGGUCAUGACGGUACCGUAAGAAUAAGCACCGGCUAACUACGUGCCAGCCGCCGCAGUAA
rnacentral:rRNA from 1 species